rnacentral:pre_miRNA from 1 species
UCUUAUGAAUGAGCAAAGAAAGUGGUUUUCCUGAGAUGGAAUCUACUCCUGGUGAAGACGCUAUGAA